AAAAAAGUAAGCUAAUUAUAAGCUAGUGGGUUCAUAUCCCAUUUAUAAGAGCCUUAAAUCUCUUCUUUUUUA
rnacentral:tRNA from 1 species